GGGCUUGCGUCCGAUUAGCUCGUUGGUGGGGUCACGGCCUACCAAGGCUGCGAUCGGUAGCUGGUCUGAGCGGAUGAUCAGCCACCCUGGGCACUGCACCCGGCCCACCUCCUCCGGGCAGCAGCAGCAGGGAAUCUUGCGCCAUGGGCGAAAGCCUGACGCAGCAACGCCGCGUGGGGGACGAAGGCCUUCGGGUUGUAACCCCCUUUUCUCGGGGCCGUGACGGUCCCCGAGGAAUAAGCCUCGGCUCACUACGUGCCAGCCGCCGCGGUCCGACGUAGGAGGCGAGCGUCAUCCGGCUUUACUGGGCGUCAAGGGCGUGUAGGCGGCUCUUCAAGUCUGUGGUGAAAUCUCCCGGCUCAACCGGGAGGGUGUCAUAGAAACUGGUGAGCUUGAGGCUAGCAGAGGGAGUUGGAAUUCCCGUUGUAGUGGUGAUAUGCGUAGAU
rnacentral:rRNA from 1 species